AAGCGCUUGUGACCAGACUUGCGCCGGGCUGAUCAUCCGAGGUUCUCCUCGGUGCACUCUGCCCGGCUCAGGCCAGCAUCGGUUCUCGCGGGGGGAUAAAGGCCCUGGGAACGUAGCUCCUCCGGGAGUGUUAUAGCCCGGGGUGUAAUGCCCUCGCGGGGACCGAGGACCGCGCUUCGGCAAGGAUGCUGGCGUAAUGGUCAUCAGCGA
rnacentral:rRNA from 1 species